UGAUGUUGUAGCAUAAAGCUAAUGUUCCAAUUGCCAUUAUCUGAGGAAUAGCACAAAACCGGAAUAUAGCAGGAUCACUUAAGGCAGACAAGUAUGUCAAACAGUCUUCAACAUGUGUUAAGGCAUUGGUGACCAUGUCAUUCAAACAUUGCACUGCCUUCUCUG